UUUUAGCCCCGGUAGCAGCGAAAAGCCUUUUGCAGGAUUGGGGCAGUUUUUCUUAGCAAAAAAAAGCGACCAGCGGAAGCUCUUUUUUUGAUUUAGAAAAACGACUCAAGACAAAAAAGCUUGCAGCGGAUGACGGGAUUUUGC
rnacentral:sRNA from 1 species